CGCGGCGUAUCCAAGCGGUCGAAGGAAACGGUCUCAUAGCCCGUCAAGCCGCAGGUUCGAAUCCUGCCGCCGCGU
rnacentral:tRNA from 1 species